UGCCGCGCGCCGCGCGUUCGGGGGCGUCGAUGGUGGAGGUGUCGGUCACGGAGCUCCUGACGUGGUGACGGAUCGGCUCCGUCGCGAGGCGGC
rnacentral:tRNA from 1 species